rnacentral:rRNA from 1 species
CCUACGGGUGGCAGCAGUGGGGAAUAUUGGACAAUGGGCGAAAGCCUGAUCCAGCCAUGCCGCGUGUGUGAAGAAGGCCUUCGGGUUGUAAAGCACUUUCAGUGGGGAAGAAAGCCUUGGGGCUAAUACCCUCGAGGAAGGACAUUACCCACAGAAGAAGCACCGGCUAACUCCGUGCCAGCAGCCGCGGUAAUACGGAGGGUGCGAGCGUUAAUCGGAAUUACUGGGCGUAAAGCGCGCGUAGGCGGUCUGAUAAGCCGGUUGUGAAAGCCCCGGGCUCAACCUGGGAACGGCAUCCGGAACUGUCAGGCUAGAGUGCUGGAGAGGAAGGUAGAAUUCCCGGUGUAGCGGUGAAAUGCGUAGAGAUCGGGAGGAAUACCAGUGGCGAAGGCGGCCUUCUGGACUGACACUGACGCUGAGGUGCGAAAGCGUGGGUAGCAAACAGGAUUAGAUACCCUGGUAGUC